UAUCUAUAUAUAUGAUUCAUUUAUAAGUUUAUUAGAUAAAAAAUUUAUGACGAAAAAAAUGUAUAGAUCCAAUGUCACAUUCAGUAAAGAUUUAUGAUACAUGAAUGGGAUGUACUCAAUGUGUCCGAGCAUGUCCCACCGAUGUAUUAAAAAUGAUACCGUGGGACGGAUGUAAAACUAUACAAAUUGCAUAUGUCCCAAGGACCGAGGACUAUGUUGGUUGUAAGAGAUGUGAAUCCGCCUGUCCAACGGAUUUCUUGAGUGUUCGAGUUUAUUUAUGGUAUGAAACAACUCGCAGUAUGGGUCUAGCUUAUUGAUAAGUUCUAGAAAACUCUACUUGAAUUUAUUUUAUGUUUUUUACCGACAAACUUUGAGCACGGAUUUUUUUGGCCCAAGUGUAUAUCUUGUCUUUACCAUGAAUCAUUUUCCUUCGUUAUAUUUUGAGCAUGGAUUUUUCUGGCCUAAGUGUAUCUUGUCUUUACCACGAAUCAUUUUCCUAGGUUAACAAUAAUUGUUAUUUUGCCAAUAUCUGCGGGUUCCUUAAUUUUCUUUCCUCCACAUAGAGGAAAUAGGGUAAUUCAUCGGUAUACUAUAUGUAUAUGUAUUUUAGAACUUCUUAUAAUGAAUUGUGCAUUUUGUUAUCAUUUCCAAUUGGGCGAUCCAUUAAUCCACCAGUAGAGGAUUAUAAAUGGAUCGAUUUUUUAUUUUUUAUUAUUUCCAUUAGAGAUUAGGAACAUAUGGCCUUUCUAUAGGACCCAUUUUACUGACGGGAUUCAUCACUACUUUAGCUACUUUUGUGACUCAGCUAGUUACUCGGGAUUGUGGACUAUUUCAUUCUUGAUGUUAGCAAUUACAGUGGUCAAAUAGGAUUAUUUUCUUUUCGGGACCUUUACAUUUUUUCCUCAUAUGGGAGUUAGAAUUAAUUAUCGUUUAUCUACUUCUAUCAAUGUGGGGAGUAAAAAACGUCUGUACUCAGCUACCAAAUUUAUUUUGUACAUGAUGGGGGUUCUAUUUUUCUUUUAACGGGAGUUCUGGGUAUCCGUUUAUAUGGUUCUAUUGAACAAACAUUAAAUUUAGAAAUAUUAGCCAAUUAGUUCUAUCAUGUGGACUUGGAAAUAAUAUUUUAUAUUGGAUUUUUUUAUUCCUUUUGCUAUCAAAUUGUCAAUUAUACCCGUACAUACAUGGUGACCAAAUACCCAUGGAGAAGCGCAUUAUAGUACUUGUAUGCUUCUAGUUGGAAUCUUAUUAAAAAUGGGAGCAUAUGAAUUGGUUCGGAUCAAUAUGGAAUUAUUGCCCCAUGCUCAUUCUAUAUUUUCGAUAAACAUAAUAUGAGAG
rnacentral:lncRNA from 1 species